GGGUUAAGCCCACUCUACUUUGUGUUUCAGGAAAAGAAUAUAAUGUUCAAUAAAUAAAUGUUGAUUAAAUAAAAGUGAAAAGAAUGAACUGUAGUAAUUAAGUUCACUAUAAAGAGAUCAUCAGUGUGGGGCUGGGAAUAUGGCCUAGUGGCAAGAG